rnacentral:rRNA from 1 species
CCUACGGGUGGCAGCAGUAGGGAAUAUUGCUCAAUGGGGGAAACCCUGAAGCAGCAACGUCGCGUGGAGGAUGACGGUUCUCGGAUUGUAAACCCCCUUUGUUCGAGAAGCUAAUGACGGUAUCUAACGAAUAAGAACCUGCUAACUCAGUGCCAGCAGCCGCGGUAAUACGGAGGGUGCAAGGGUUACCCGGAAUCGCUGGGCGUAAAGGGCGUGUAGGCGGGAUAGCAAGUCAGAUGGGAAAUCCUAUGGCUUAACCAUAGAACUGCCUUUGAAACUGGUGAUCUAGAGUAUGGGAGAGGUAUGUGGAAUGCUUGGUGUAGGGGUAAAAUCCAUAGAGAUCAAGAGGAAUACUGAUUGCGAAGGCAGCAUACUGGUGCAUAACUGACGCUGAGGCGCGAAAGCGUGGGUAGCGAACAGGAUUAGAUACCCGUGUAGUC